rnacentral:rRNA from 1 species
UGGUAAUGCCGGAUGCUCCAUCACACCGCAUGGUGUGUUGGGAAAGCCUUUGCGGCAUGGGAUGGGGUCGCGUCCUAUCAGCUUGAUGGCGGGGUAACGGCCCACCAUGGCUUCGACGGGUAGCCGGCCUGAGAGGGCGACCGGCCACAUUGGGACUGAGAUACGGCCCAGACUCCUACGGGAGGCAGCAGUGGGGAAUAUUGCACAAUGGGCGCAAGCCUGAUGCAGCGACGCCGCGUGAGGGAUGGAGGCCUUCGGGUUGUAAACCUCUUUUGUUAGGGAGCAAGGCACUUUGUGUUGAGUGUACCUUUCGAAUAAGCACCGGCUAACUACGUGCCAGCAGCCGCGGUAAUACGUAGGGUGCAAGCGUUAUCCGGAAUUAUUGGGCGUAAAGGGCUCGUAGGCGGUUCGUCGCGUCCGGUGUGAAAGUCCAUCGCUUAACGGUGGAUCCGCGCCGGGUACGGGCGGGCUUGAGUGCGGUAGGGGAGACUGGAAUUCCCGGUGUAACGGUGGAAUGUGUAGAUAUCGGAAAGAACACCA